rnacentral:lncRNA from 1 species
AUUAUCUUUAUAAAAUGGUACAAUACGCUACCCAUUUCUUGUUUGUGGAUAUAAUUCGUCAUAUUUUGUUAAAAUUGAGCCCCAAAAUAAAAGAUCCUACACCGAAGAAAAAGUGAUCAAUAUGCUGUAGUUUCUCAUGUACGAUAUAUUUCUUGAACUUGGAGGUACAAUCUUAUAGAAAGGACUGUUUCAUACCUUGAUAUUUUCCUCAAUAUUGACACAGAUGGACGACUUCAAACUAAAAUAUAUGACAAACGGGACAAUUUCAACUUCCAAAUUAUCAAUUCCCC